rnacentral:rRNA from 1 species
UACGUAGGGGGCAAGCGUUAUCCGGAUUUACUGGGUGUAAAGGGGGCGCAGACGGCGAUGCAAGCCAGGAGUGAAAGCCCGGGGCCCAACCCCGGGACUGCUCUUGGAACUGCGUGGCUGGAGUGCAGGAGGGGCAGGCGGAGUUCCUGGUGUAGCGGUGAAAUGCGUAGAUAUCAGGAGGAACACCGGUGGCGAAGGCGGCCUGCUGGACUGCAACUGACGUUGAGGCCCGAAAGCGUGGGGAGCAAACAGG